rnacentral:rRNA from 1 species
AAUCCUGGUUGAAGAUGGGUGGACCAUCAUCCAAGGCUAAAUACUACUUACUGACCGAUAGUGAACCAGUACCGUGAGGGAAAGGUGAAAAGAACCCCGGAGAGGGGAGUGAAAUAGAAUCUGAAACCGUUUGCGUACAAGCAGUGGGAGCAUGGUUUAGGCUGUGUGACUGCGUACCUUUUGUAUAAUGGGUCAGCGAGUUACUUUCAGUGGCGAGGUUAACUGAAUAAGGGAGCCGUAGAGAAAUCGAGUCUGAAUAGGGCGAUAGUCGCUGGGAGUAGACCCGAAACCGGGCGAUCUAGCCAUGUGCAGGAUGAAGGUUGGGUAACACCAACUGGAGGUCCGAACCGGGUAAUGUUGAAAAAUUAUCGGAUGACGUGUGGCUAGGAGUGAAAGGCUAAUCAAGCCCGGAGAUAGCUGGUUCUCCCCGAAAGCUAUUUAGG